GAUGAACGCUGGCUACAGGCUUAACACAUGCAAGUCGAGGGGAAACGACGGGGAAGCUUGCUUCCCCGGGCGUCGACCGGCGCACGGGUGAGUAACGCGUAUCCAACCUGCCUCUGACUGAGGGAUAACCCGUCGAAAGUCGGCCUAAUACCUCAUGGCAUCGUCUGCGGGCAUCCAACGACGAUUAAAGAUUUCAUCGGUCAGAGAUGGGGAUGCGUCUGAUUAGCUUAUUGGCGGGGUAACGGCCCACCAAGGCGACGAUCAGUAGGGGUUCUGAGAGGAAGGUCCCCCACAUUGGAACUGAGACACGGUCCAAACGCCUACGGGAGGCAGCAGUGAGGAAUAUUGGUCAAUGGGCGAGAGCCUGAACCAGCCAAGUAGCGUGCAGGAUGACGGCCCUAUGGGUUGUAAACUGCUUUUAUGCGGGGAUAAAGUGAGGGACGUGUCCUUCAUUGCAGGUACCGCAUGAAUAAGGACCGGCUAAUUCCGUG
rnacentral:rRNA from 1 species